AAUUAAAUCAAAUAAAUUAAAACUGGGAAUAAGGUUGGCCCAUUUUGGCAUGUGCCAGGCAAGCCAAGGGACUUGAAAGUCUAAACGAAAGAAGCAUCCGUCUCUAGAUAACCGCGUUAAAAUAAUUGGAAAGAAACUUGCAAUUUUCACAUUUUCGUGUAAGCGCGCAAGGGCCUAAUUUCCACCACCUUUCCGUUCAAAGCACCCCACCCGCUAAGCACACUAUAAAUUCCUCUCCACGCACCUUCUCCCAUCAUCAUUCAGUUCAUUUUCUCUUUCCUACUGCAUAUGUCUCAGAGACCUAACGUCCCCCACUUCUCUUCUGUAGCCUUUGGUCUCCAUUCCCAUCUCCUGGUUUCCAGUGAGAUGAACCCAAAUUCUAACUGGUCUUGUAUUUCCCAUUAAAGAAUCUUAGAGCUUUCUUUCUCUGAUUGUUGCUUUGUUUCUUUUCCCUGAAAAAGAAAAGAAAACCUCAUAAUUUUGCCAUUCUUUAAUUUAUUACCGACGAUUCUUGUUGUUUUGAUUCUUGGCAAGCUUUUGAAAAAUGGGUUUGAAAGGUUUUGUUGAAGGAGGCAUAGCUUCAAUUGUUGCUGGGUGCUCCACUCACCCUCUGGACCUCAUCAAGGUCCGUAUGCAACUCCAAGGGGAAACCCACGCACCAAAUCCCGCCGCCGUCCAAACUCUCCGGCCGGCUAUCGCUUUCCACACCACCACUCCUGGAACCACCAUUCAUUUGCCUCAACAACCAUUACCCGUUCCAGCACCUCGUGUGGGUCCCAUCGCUGUCGGUGUCCGCAUCGUACAGCAAGAAGGUGUAGCCGCGCUUUUUUCAGGUGUCUCUGCCACCAUGCUCCGCCAGACCCUCUAUUCCACCACCCGCAUGGGGCUCUACGACAUCUUGAAACAGAAAUGGACCGAUCCUAACACCAAAACCAUGCCUUUAGCUAGCAAGAUUGCUGCAGGGCUUAUAGCUGGUGGCAUCGGUGCAGCCGUUGGAAAUCCAGCCGAUGUUGCGAUGGUCCGCAUGCAGGCAGACGGGCGUCUGCCACCAGCUCAGCGCCGGAACUACAAGAGCGUGAUCGACGCAAUCACACGCAUGGCAAAGCAAGAAGGCAUUACUAGCCUGUGGCGCGGGUCAUCGCUGACAGUCAACCGGGCUAUGCUGGUGACAGCAUCGCAGCUAGCAUCAUACGACCAAUUCAAGGAAAUGAUCCUGGAAAAAAGAUUGAUGCACGAUGGACUUGGAACCCACGUGACAGCAAGUUUCGCGGCGGGAUUCGUGGCAUCGGUAGCAUCAAAUCCAGUGGACGUGAUAAAGACAAGGGUGAUGAACAUGAAGGUGGAAGCAGGGGAGGCGCCACCGUAUGCAGGGGCGUUAGAUUGCGCAAUAAAGACUGUGAAGGCGGAGGGUCCGAUGGCGCUGUACAAAGGUUUUAUACCAACGAUUUCGAGACAAGGCCCUUUCACGAUUGUACUGUUUGUGACACUGGAACAGGUCAGGAAGCUGUUCAAGGAUUUCUGAUGACGACGAAAAAGGAACUUAACAUCGCGUCUUUGAAUGUUGGG
rnacentral:misc_RNA from 1 species